rnacentral:lncRNA from 1 species
CUAUCUUGAUCUCUUAUUUGCUUAAUUAUUUAUUCUUUUUUAGGCAUAAUAUAGUUUAUUAUUUUUUUAUUUAAUUUUGUAGCUCGUUAUUCUUAUAUUCUUAAAAAAUAUGAAUAUUUAUGCUAAUAGCAUAAAUUUUAAGAGGAAAAAAUUUAAUUUAAUAGCCGAAUUUUUGAUCCCGAAUUUUUAAUUGGUGAACGUAUAAUAUCCGUAUAAAUCACGUAUCCGAAUAAUUGACUAAUCCGUUUUUUAGCCGAUUUUUUCAACGAAUUUAAAAAUUAGAAGACGAAUUUUAUCCGAAUUAUACCCGUACCGAACUUUUGCCGAAUCCGAAUUAACUAACUAUGGUUUGGAUCGCCACCCGAAUUGGAAUCGGAAUAAAUUAUUUCUGUUGCCGAUAUUUGGUUCAGAUAGAUAUCAGAAACGUAAUUAAAUUGAUAUGUCAAUUUUAUCUUUAUAAAAUAUUAGUUUAAAUUCAUACUAAAAAUUAAAUAUUAAAAAUUUAUGUCAAAAUUUUAAAAUAAUGUCAAAAUUUUAAAUAUAUUUUUCUAAAAAAUUAAAAUUUGGAAUUGAUCAGAUAACUCAAAAUAUAAAACUAAAUUUCAGUUUAUUCAAAUUCAAAUUUAAAAAUUAUAAUUUAAAUUUUAAUCUGAAUCCGUAAAUUUAAUUUAAAUUUUAAAUAAAAUUUGAAUAAAAUUUAAAAUUUAAAAUUUAAAUUUAAAUUUAAAUUUAUAAAUUAGAUUCAAAAUGCUUGAUUGAAUUUUAAUUUUUAAUUUAAGUUCAAAUUAAAAUUAAAUUUAUAAAUAUAAUUUUUUUAAUUUAAACUUAUGCUUUAAUUAAGAAAUAAACUUAAAAAUAUUAAAUUUAAUCCAAUCAAAUCCAUUUUGCCUGGAUUCAAUAUCCAAUCCGGCCUCCUAAGCUGAAUUGGAAAAAAGAGUAAUUGGAAGAUUCCUAUUUACUCGGGAAUCGAAAUCGGAAUGGAAAUUCUGCAUACCGAAUAUCGACAAACAGAUUCGUCCAUUCCGAUUUCGAUGCAAGAUAAAAAAUGAGGCGAACCAAACGCGCUUAUAUAGUAUUAGAGUCAUAUUUUUUGAUUCUAUUCUUUUUUUCUUUUUCUUUUUUUGAGAGAGAGAGAGAGGUAGCACGCUACCCGCCUUGUUUAUUUCAUUUAGAAAUAAACUUGGCUGGAAAUAUAAAUCAACUAGGAUUCGAAUUUAGGAUCUCGAGUAUCAAUCACCAAGUCUUUUAUCACUUGCUCUAGAAACGGUCGGUAUUUUUUGAUUCUAUUCUGAUAUAACAGUAAUUACUAAAG